rnacentral:rRNA from 1 species
CGCGCAGGCGGGUUGACAAGUCAGAGGUGAAAUCCUACAGCUUAACUGUAGAACUGCCUUUGAGACUGUCAAUCUUGAGUACGGAAGAGAGAGAUGGAAUUCCAGGUGUAGUGGUGAAAUACGUAGAUAUCUGGAAGAACACCAGUGGCGAAGGCGGUCUCUUGGUCCAUUACUGACGCUGAGGCGCGAAAGCGUGGGGAGCAAACAGGAUUAGAUACCCUGGUAGUCC